CCCAGACAGCCAGGAUGUUGGCUUAGAAGCAGCCAUCAUUUAAAGAAAGCGUAAUAGCUCACUGGUCGAGUCGGCCUGCGCGGAAGAUGUAACGGGGCUAAACCAUGCACCGAAGCUGCGGCAGCGACACUCAGGUGUUGUUGGGUAGGGGAGCGUUCUGUAAGCCUGUGAAGGUGGCCUGUGAGGGUUGCUGGAGGUAUCAGAAGUGCGAAUGCUGACAUAAGUAACGAUAAAGCGGGUGAAAAGCCCGCUCGCCGGAAGACCAAGGGUUCCUGUCCAACGUUAAUCGGGGCAGGGUGAGUCGACCCCUAAGGCGAGGCCGAAAGGCGUAGUCGAUGGGAAACAGGUUAAUAUUCCCGUACUUGGUGUUACUGCGAAGGGGGGACGGAGAAGGCUAUGUUGGCCGGGCGACGGUUGUCCCGGUUUAAGCGUGUAGGUGUGUGUUCCAGGUAAAUCCGGUUCACUUUAACACUGAGGCGUGAUGACGAGGCACUACGGUGCUGAAGCAACAAAUGCCCUGC
rnacentral:rRNA from 1 species